rnacentral:rRNA from 1 species
UGAGUAAUGUCUGGGAAACUGCCCGAUGGAGGGGGAUAACUACUGGAAACGGUAGCUAAUACCGCAUAACGUCGCAAGACCAAAGUGGGGGACCUUCGGGCCUCACACCAUCGGAUGUGCCCAGAUGGGAUUAGCUAGUAGGUGGGGUAAUGGCUCACCUAGGCGACGAUCCCUAGCUGGUCUGAGAGGAUGACCAGCCACACUGGAACUGAGACACGGUCCAGACUCCUACGGGAGGCAGCAGUGGGGAAUAUUGCACAAUGGGCGCAAGCCUGAUGCAGCCAUGCCGCGUGUAUGAAGAAGGCCUUCGGGUUGUAAAGUACUUUCAGCGGGGAGGAAGGCGGUGGAGUUAAUAACUUCACCGAUUGACGUUACCCGCAGAAGAAGCACCGGCUAACUCCGUGCCAGCAGCCGCGGUAAUACGGAGGGUGCAAGCGUUAAUCGGAAUUACUGGGCGUAAAAGCGCACGCAGGCGGUCUGUCAAGUCGGAUGUGAAAUCCCCGGG